GGGGGGAUCCCUGGGUGGCGCAGCAGUUUGGCGCCUGCCUUUGGCCCAGGGCGCGAUCCUGGAGACCCGGGAUCGAGUCCCACGUCGGGUUCCCGGUGCAUGGAGCCUGCUUCUCCCUCUGCCUGUGUCUCUGCCUCUCUCUCUCUCUGUGUGUGUGACUAUCAUAAAUAAAUAAAAAUUAAAAAAAAAAACACACAGGGGCUUGGGGAAGAAAGACUGGAGAAAAUGGAGGGGUGAAAUUAACAAAGACAUAAAACAGGGGAAUUUAUGAGUUGAAAAAUAAAUCUCCACAUAUAAAGAGCCCACUUUAAUAAAUGAACUAAUGAAUAAAUGAAAAACAACUUGUGUCCAGCACAUUAUAAUGAAAUUUCAGAAUACUAUGAAUAAUAAAAAGAAUCUAAUAACUCAAAAAAAGUAUCUAAUAACUCUUGAAAGAAAAAUCAAGUAACAUACAAAAUAUCAAAAAUCAGAAGCUAUGCUACAGACAAGGGGAAAAUAUAUUUAAUCUGGAUUUGGGAAAAGAAUCAGUUUUCAGGCUAAAUUAGCCAUUUUCAGCAUUACUUGAAGAUAUGCUAAAGUUAAAGAACUGAAAGGUAAAAGGCAAGAGGAAACAGAGGUGCAGUCAAGGUGUGGGGGGGGGUGGGGGGGGGAGGAAAAGACAGGAUCACUUCUGCUGGGGGGCUCUGCUGUCGCUGCUAGCUGGUUCUGUGACCGGCCUGUGGCAACGGAGAAGAUCCUCAGCAAGGAUCUGAUAUCUCCGAGUUGGAGAAAACACUUAGAACUAGAUCAGCUGCCUCGGAAAUCCAGAUUCUUCCCCUAGGACUCCGUAUAUAUUGUACUAAAUUUCUACUGUGCUAACGCAGCUCGGUGAAGAGUACUUGAUAAAGUUUUUAAUUACGAUUUCUGUUUCAGCACCUUCCACUGCCCGGAGCAGUCAUGUUCCUGAAAGAUGGUAUUUUAGCACAGGAAUUUUCAGAAGCCCGAUAGGAAACUGUAAACAAGGGUGUAUGUCUGGGAUCUGCCUCUGACCGCAACGGCUUUGGGGUGGGUUUUGUAAAAUUCCAAACACCCUGACCUUUUUGAAUGAAAAUGGACAAAAGUGUACAGUUGUAUUAGUUUGCUUCGACUUUAUUAGCACACAUCAGAAAAAUAGCAUUGUAUUUAGGGAUUUCUCAUGAUGGUCUAUCAGACAGAUAGAAGACAGAUCAUUGGUAGCUGCCACUGAGUUUCUGGGUAACCUUAAGUCCCCCC
rnacentral:lncRNA from 12 species